rnacentral:rRNA from 1 species
AUACGGAGGGUGCAAGCGUUAUUCGGAAUCACUGGGCGUAAAGGACGCGUAGGCGGGUUGGCAAGUCAGAUGUGAAAUCCUACAGCUUAACUGUAGAACUGCAUUUGAAACUGCUAACCUAGAGUAUGGGAGGGGGAGAUGGAAUUAGUGGUGUAGGGGUAAAAUCCGUAGAUAUCACUAGGAAUACCGAAAGCGAAGGCGAUCUCCUGGAACAUAACUGACGCUAAGGCGUGAAAGCGUGGGGAGCAAACAUGAUUAGAAACCCUAGUAGUCC